rnacentral:rRNA from 1 species
CACGAAGGGGGCUAGCGUUGUUCGGAAUCACUGGGCGUAAAGCGCACGUAGGCGGAUCGUUAAGUCGAGGGUGAAAUCCCAGGGCUCAACCCUGGAACUGCCUUCGAUACUGGCGAUCUUCGAGUCCGGGAGAGGUGAGUGGAACUCCGAGUGUAGAGGUGAAAUUCGUAGAUAUUCGGAAGAACACCAGUGGCGAAGGCGGCUCACUGGCCCGGUACUGACGCUGAAGUGCGAAAGCGUGGGGAGCAAACAGG